rnacentral:lncRNA from 1 species
GUCCACCAAUUAACCCUCAAAUCCAACACAUCAAUUUUGGUUUACAAAUUUCUGGUUCUACACUUUUUUUGUUUACCAGGUAUUAUCCUAAUAGUCUCUGAGUUCCAUCAGUAGGCCUUUUCAAUUGGACUAAUUCAGUCUGUCUUCAGUUUUUUGGGGGAAGGAAGUCAGUAAAAUCAAUAUUUGUCACAACAACGUAUAAUAUCUUAUGAACUUUUUUUACAGUUGAACUCCUAAUUUGGGUAAAUUUGUAGACCUCCAUCACCACAACAGGACCUGCCCUUCAAUUUUAGCCAUCAAGGGUAAAACCCAGCUUUAGCUUCUUCCAGCUAUUUUUUAAUAGACUUCACUUUAUUCUUAUUUCCCCCUUCCAUGUUCUCAAUGUUUUUUAGUUAAUUUAGUGUAGCGUUUGAGUAGUUGUGUGGUCAAUUAUAUUCUCUUUUUCAGUUUCAUUUUAAGUUUAUUUUGGUCUUGGUUCCAAAAAGAAUUGCCAGUUGGUACUGAAGGAUGGCCAGAAAGUUAACUGGAUUGAAAUAGCAUCUUUCAUGUAAUACAGAUAUCUAUUACAAACAUUUCUAGAGCACUGCCUUAGAGAGACUGAGCUACUGGGGAGAUGAAGGUGGUGCAAAACAGAGCACCGCAAGAGUUCAAGGGGACAGAAUCUAUACUUCAUUCCUUCUUGAUUAAGUAAGCCCUUCAAGCAAUUCCACCUGACUGACCCUUAGAAUUAUCAGUAGGGGAAUAGAGGUGAAUGAGAUCCAGUAAGACAUUGGGUCAGAAGGAAGAGUCUAGUUAGGCUAAGCAUCAGAGUGACGCAGUCCCACUAGACACCCCCUUAGUGCUGAGAAGUAAAGGGCCAUCAUCAUUCCUCUGGAGCCCCAACAAUUUAACUCCUGACAGCACUCAGGCAGCAGUGGUGCUGAGGAUGACAGACUUCUCCCUUUGAGAGAGAAAAAUCACAUCAUUUCUUCCCAUCUUGGUACAAAAUUCUCAAUUGUGAAACAUACUGACUACUCUGCAGAAGGUACCUUCAUUUUAAUCUGCCUUGUUACACCGAGGCAGCUUUGAGAGACGUCAAAGUGCACCAAGCCUCAGCACACCGAAGUGAAUCCUCAAAAGCACCAUGGGAAACAUUGUAAGAGAAGCAUCUAAAAGCAUUACUAAUCGAAGGCAGGUGCUGGUUUUCAAAUAUCUA